GCUCGAGUGGCGAACGGGUGAGUAACACGUGAGUAACCUGCCCUUGACUUUGGGAUAACUUCAGGAAACUGGGGCUAAUACCGGAUAGGAGCUCCUGCUGCAUGGUGGGGGUUGGAAAGUUUCGGCGGUUGGGGAUGGACUCGCGGUUUAUCAGCUUGUUGGUGGGGCAGUGGCUUACCAAGGCUUUGACGGGUAGCCGGCCUGAGAGGGUGACCGGCCACAUUGGGACUGAGAUACGGCCCAG
rnacentral:rRNA from 1 species